GGGUAGGGAGCAGGUGAUCUAGCUCUUUAUGUGUCGAGGGAAUCAAGUACAAAGUCAUAGUAGAGUGUCUCAGAUCAGUGCAAAAAUAAAAGAUGCAACAUUACAAAAUUAAGGAGUUGGAUGACAAUUUGGUCGUUGCAUGAAUACUACCUGCUCAUGCAUUAAAAGACUUUUAAUUGGUUUUCACUUUACAAAGUUUAGCAUAAUGUGAUUCCCACAUACCAAACGCAUUCAGUCAGGCUCGUGCAUG
rnacentral:lncRNA from 1 species